GAGUCUAGCAUGUGCGCGAGUCAUUGGGAUUCGCUAAACCUACAGGCGCAAUGAAAGUGAAGGUCGGCCUCGCGCCGACCGAGGGAGGAUGGGCUGUCGUCCUCGGACGUCGCCCCGCACUCCCGGGGCGUCUCGUACUCAUCGCGAGUUGAGGCGCACCCAGAGCGUACACGCUGGGACCCGAAAGAUGGUGAACUAUGCCUGGUCAGGACGAAGUCAGGGGAAACCCUGAUGGAGGUCCGUAGCGAUUCUGACGUGCAAAUCGAUCGUCGGAACUGGGUAUAGGGGCGAAAGACUAAUCGAACCAUCUAGUAGCUGGUUCCCUCCGAAGUUUCCCUCAGGAUAGCUGGCGCUCGUAUUUUACGAGUCUCAUCCGGUAAAGCGAAUGAUUAGAGGCAUUGGGGUCGAAACGGCCUCAACCUAUUCUCAAACUUUAAAUGGGUGAGAUCUCCGGCUUGCUCGAUUGAAGCCGCGAGAUUUCGGAUCAGAGUGCCAAGUGGGCCAUUUUUGGUAAGCAGAACUGGCGCUGUGGGAUGAACCAAACGUGGAGUUAAAGCGCCUAAAUCGACGCUUAUGGGAUACCAUGAAAGGCGUUGGUAACUUAAGACAGCAGGACGGUGGCCAUGGAAGUCGGA
rnacentral:rRNA from 1 species